rnacentral:misc_RNA from 1 species
CUUAUUGCUAGUGCAAUUGUAUCCCAGUGGACUUGGGCUGCUACAAUUUUGCAAAGCUCUAAUGUUGCUUGGCAGUAUGGAGUCAGUGGACCUUUUUGGUAUGCUAGUGGGGCUACUAUCCAGGUACUCUUGUUUGGUAUAAUGGCUAUAGAGAUCAAAAGGAAAGCUCCUCAUGCACAUACUAUCUGUGAAAUUGUAAAAGCUCGUUGGGGGAUUUCUGCACAUGUUGUGUUCCUCAUUUUUUGCUUAUUAACAAACAUUAUUGUAACGGCUAUGCUGCUUCUUGGUGGUUCUGCUGUUGUAAAUGCACUUACUGGAGUGAAUAUUUACGCAGCUAGCUUUCUAAUUCCACUCGGAGUAAUUGUCUAUACUCUAGCUGGAGGGCUAAAAGCAACCUUCUUGGCAAGUUAUAUACAUUCUGUUAUAGUGCAUGCGNNNNNNNNNNNNNACCUAGUUUACACAGCAAGCAGUGAGCUGGGAAGUCCCAGUCUUAUAUAUAACCGUCUGGCGGAGGUGGCUAGUAAGUCAAGACUGUGUCAAGAACCGAUUUCACAUGAUGGGCAAUCCUGUGGUCCUGUCAGUGGAAAUUACAAGGGUUCUUACUUAACAAUGUUGAGUUCAGGUGGUCUGGUUUUUGGAAUUAUAAACAUUGCUGGAAACUUCGGUACGGUUUUUGUUGACAAUGGAUAUUGGGUGAGUGCCAUCGCCGCCAGACCUUCAUCAACGCAUAAGGGGUAUUUGUUGGGUGGCCUUGUGUGGUUUGCUGUACCAUUCUCUUUGGCAACAUCUCUGGGUCUAGGGGCACUUGCCCUUGAUUUACCAAUAUCAGAAAGUGAGGCAAGCCAUGGACUUGUUCCUCCAGCUACUGCUAUAGCUUUGAUGGGGAAAGGAGGAUCAAUACUUCUUCUUACAAUGCU